UGCGUAGGCGGGCUAAUAAGUCAGUGGUGAAAUCUCUCGGCUCAACCGGGAAACUGCCAUUGAUACUGUUAGUCUUGAGUUCGGUUGAGGUAGGCGGAAUGUGUAAUGUAGCGGUGAAAUGCUUAGAUAUUACACAGAACACCAAUUGCGUAGGCAGCUUACUAGAACGACACUGACGCUGAGGCACGAAAGCGUGGGGAGCGAACAGGAUUAGAUACCCUGGUAGUCC
rnacentral:rRNA from 1 species